rnacentral:tRNA from 1 species
GGUAAUUAGUUUAAACAAAAUAAAUGAUUUCGACUCAUUAGAUUAUGAAUCAUAUCAUAAUUACCA